rnacentral:rRNA from 1 species
CCCGUUCGCCGAAAGACCAAGGGUUCCAGUCCAACGUUAAUCGGGGCUGGGUGAGUCGACCCCUAAGGCGAGGCCGAAAGGCGUAGUCGAUGGGAAAAUGGUUAAUAUUCCAUUACUUCUGUGUAAUGCGAUGAGAGGACGGAGAAGGCUAAAUCAGCCUGGCGUUGGUUGUCCAGGUGAAAGGAUGUAGGCAUGUAUCUUAGGCAAAUCCGGGGUACUCUAUGCUGAGAUCUGAUAGCAAGCUGUACUUGUACAGCGAAGUGGUUGAUGCCAUGCUUCCAGGAAAAGUCUCUAAGCUUCAGUUACACAGGAAUCGUACCCGAAACCGACACAGGUGGUCAGGUCGAGUAGACCAAGGCGCUUGAGAGAACUCUGCUGAAGGAACUAGGCAAAAUGGUACCGUAACUUCGGGAGAAGGUACGCUGUUGUUGGUGAUGGAACUCGCUUCCUGAGCUGACGACAGCCGCAGAAACCAGGCCGCUGCAACUGUUUAUUAAAAACAUAGCACUCUGCAAACACGAAAGUGGACGUAUAGGGUGUGAUGCCUGCCCGGUGCUGGAAGGUUAAUUGAUGGGGUUAGCGUAAGCGAAGCUCUUGAUCGAAGCCCCAGUAAACGGCGGCCGUAACUAUAACGGUCCUAAGGUAGCGAAAUUCCUUGUCGGGUAAGUUCCGACCUGCACGAAUGGCAUAAUGAUGGCGGCGCUGUCUCCAGCAGAGGCUCAGUGAAAUCGAAAUCGCUGUGAAGAUGCAGUGUACCCGCGGCUAGACGGAAAGACCCCGUGAACCUUUACUGCAGCUUGACACUGAACUUUGACCUUACUUGUGUAGGAUAGGUGGGAGGCUUUGAAGCUGGAACGCUAGUUCCAGUGGAGCCGUCCUUGAAAUACCACCCUGGUAAUGUUGAGGUUCUAACUCUGUCCCGUGAUCCGGGACGAGGACCGUGUCUGGUGGGUAGUUUGACUGGGGCGGUCUCCUCCUAAAGAGUAACGGAGGAGUACGAAGGUGCGCUCAGCGUGGUCGGAAAUCACGCGUAGAGUAUAAAGGCAAAAGCGCGCUUAACUGCGAGACCCACAAGUCGAGCAGGUACGAAAGUAGGUCUUAGUGAUCCGGUGGUUCUGUAUGGAAGGGCCAUCGCUCAACGGAUAAAAGGUACUCUGGGGAUAACAGGCUGAUACCGCCCAAGAGUUCAUAUCGACGGCGGUGUUUGGCACCUCGAUGUCGGCUCAUCUCAUCCUGGGGCUGAAGCAGGUCCCAAGGGUAUGGCUGUUCGCCAUUUAAAGAGGUACGCGAGCUGGGUUUAGAACGUCGUGAGACAGUUCGGUCCCUAUCUACCGUGGGCGCUGGAAAUUUGAGAGGAUCUGCUCCUAGUACGAGAGGACCAGAGUGGACGAACCUCUGGUGUACCGGUUGUGACGCCAGUCGCAUCGCCGGGUAGCUAUGUUCGGAAGGGAUAACCGCUGAAAGCAUCUAAGCGGGAAGCCUACCUCAAGAUAAGAUUUCCCUAGGACUUUAUGUCCUCUAAAGAGCCGUUCGAGACUAGGACGUUGAUAGGUUGGAUGUGGAAGCAUAGUGAUAUGUGAAGCUGACCAAUACUAAUUGCUCGUGAGGCUUGACUAUACAACACCCAAGCAGUUG